rnacentral:rRNA from 1 species
CCUACGGGAGGCAGCAGUAAGGAAUAUUGGUCAAUGGAGGCAACUCUGAACCAGCCAUGCCGCGUGCAGGAAGAAGGCCCUAUGGGUCGUAAACUGCUUUUGUACCAGAGAAAACCCGAGUACGUGUACUCGGUUGAUAGUAUGGUAAGAAUAAGCAUCGGCUAACUUCGUGCCAGCAGCCGCGGUAAGACGAAGGAUGCAAGCGUUAUCCGGAUUCAUUGGGUUUAAAGGGUGCGUAGGCGGACUGAUAAGUCAGUGGUGAAAUCUCUCAGCUUAACUGAGAAACUGCCAUUGACACUGUUAGUCUAGAGUAUAGAUGACGUUGGCGGAAUAUGACAUGUAGUGGUGAAAUACUUAGAUAUGUCAUAGAACACCGAUUGCGAAGGCAGCUAAACGAAACUAUAACUGACGCUGAGGCACGAAAGUGCGGGGAUCAAACAGGAUUAGAUACCCUGGUACGUACCGCACCGUAAACGAUAUAUACUGUUGUGUANAUAUGCGCGACGCGACCGAACGACGAAGAGAUAAUAACUCCGACCG